CUUUAUUUAUUUUCUUUACACAACCCUUCGCCGUAACCCUAGCUGCGCCGCACUCUUCACACGCUCGCCUCGCCGUCUUUAAUUAUCAAGGAAAUAUUGAACCGAGAAUCGAGUUACCUCCUCUGUCACCGUUACCCAUGAAUAUCAAACCGAAUCGUAUAACUCAUGUCGACCACACUGAUUCGGAUCGAACUUACUGCUCGAGCUAAUCGUGGUAGAGGUUAUUAUCGUCGUUAGCUAUCUGUCGAGGUGUGUCUCUGUCGAUGCUAUAUUAAAUUAUGUGUUUACUUGAUUGUUUGGUAUGUACUGAUAAAUUGUGAGAUUGACUGUUUUGUGAAAUUGGUUGAAAUUAUUUGCAUUAA